GGAAUAAUGGAGCCAUUGUCCAAACCUCUUUUAGAUGGUGGGAACAUUCCAAAGCAACUUGAAAGAGAUGUGUUAUAUCAAUCGGGAGAUAAGGUUCCCACUAACAAUAUCAUAGACAAUGAGCCAACAAUAACUACUUUUCAUCAAGACCCAAAUUUAGAAGAACAGAACACAGAAGAAAAAUGGGAAGAGAAACGGAGAGAGAGAGAAGAAAAGCGACAGAGAGAAAGAUUGGAAGUUUUUGAAAGAGAACAAAAAGAAUUACAAAGACUAAAUGAAGAAAUGAUAUUACUUGAAGAAUCAUUAAAAAGUGAAGUAGAAAAAGAUACUAAAGGGUUAGAAAUCAUCGAAAAGGAAUUGGAAAAUAAUGAAAUUGUCAACCCUUUAGAAAAAUAUAUGAAAAUUAUCCAACAGAAUAAAGAACAGGAAUCAGUUAAUAAGGUGAGAAGAAAUUUUAAAGGACAAAGUUUAAAUGGCAAAGUAAAUUAGUUAUGUGUGAUUCUGCAAUACUGUGAACAGUCAUUUACAAUAGCUUCUUUAUUAAAAACUUCAAUUGUAGGGGCAUUUUUGUUAUAUUAAGCUCAUAAUGGAGAGUAGCUAAUCAUGAUUAUUUCACAUAUUUAAGUUCUUUCUAGGAACUUCAGAGGCUUUUUCCCCCCAGUUAUAUGCCAUGACAGUAAAAAAAUACAAUUUAAUAAAAAUUGAUGGUUUUGAUUUUAAAGAGGGAGA
rnacentral:lncRNA from 1 species